rnacentral:rRNA from 1 species
AUUGAACGCUGGCGGCAUGCUUUACACAUGCAAGUCGAACGGCAGCGCGGGCUUCGGCCUGGCGGCGAGUGGCGAACGGGUGAGUAAUGCAUCGGAACGUGCCCAGUAGUGGGGGAUAGCCCGGCGAAAGACGGAUUAAUACCGCAUACGACCUGAGGGUGAAAGCGGGGGACCGAAAGGACUCGCGCUCUUGGAGCGGCCGACGUCGGAUUAGCUAGUUGGUGGGGUAAAGGCUUACCAAGGCGACGAUCCGUAGCUGGUCUGAGAGGACGACCAGCCACCCUGGGACUGAGACACGGCCCAGACUCCUACGGGAGGCAGCAGUGGGGAAUUUUGGACAAUGGGGGCAACCCUGAUCCAGCCAUGCCGCGUGCGGGAAGAAGGCCUUCGGGUUGUAAACCGCUUUUGUUCGGGAAGAAAUCCUCUGGGCUAAUACCCCGGGGGGAUGACGGUACCGGAAGAAUAAGCACCGGCUAACUACGUG